GAAGAAGAAGAAGAAGGUUGUGAUGAGGAAAAUGGGACUGACUGAAAGAAACCAGAUUAUCAUGUAUGACUGGCAUCUGUUAUAAGGUCCAGAGUCAUCGCACACUGUUGAACAACUGAAUUCUCCACAAGCUAAUAAAAAGUAGAAACGCAGUAAGAUGAAGACCGUGGAAACCCUUAAGUGCACUGCUGUCUGCGCUCCUCUGCUUGCGAAUGGAGCACUCAAGUUUUCAAGAUAUUUAACUUUCAAAAUAGAGAAAUCAUCCCCCUAUGACGCAUUUUGCAUCAUAUGACGCAUUUUGCAUCAUAUGAUGCUGCGUUUUUCAUCAUAUGAUCAAAUCACAUCAAAUCUCACUGUGGAUGGAUUAGACUUCAGAAUUGCAUUGGGGCAUACUUAUAUUUCACUGAACAGCAUCACCUAUGGAUUGUGGAUCAAUGAAAUGGGGUAUCAGUCUACUCAGUGACAACCACAGAACACAACUGUGAAGAGUUUAAACAAAUAUUAGCAUCGUAGCUCAUAUUGCGGGACUCUGAAAACACAGUGAAAUGAGCCACAUUAAGCUUACCAAUCAACCUACUAAUAAUUGUUUAACAUGGAGAGAUUAGAACAUUGAGAGAUUAGAUCUUUUUCAGGGAAUUUACACUUUCCCACCUGCCAUAGCAGACACUGUGAGUACUCAAUUAUAGAUGCUAAUGUGGGUCUCUCUACUCUGGAACUUUCUCUUGAACAC